rnacentral:lncRNA from 1 species
ACAUAUACAGCUGCGUAAAAACAAUGUCAUCUCAAACUCUCAACAUAGAGCAACAGACCAUUAGAGCUGAAAAAAUUGUCAAUGUAUGAGAAAGGGUGACUGGGUUAUAAGCAACAGAAGGCCAUUCAAUAGCUAAUGGCCUGGCCAAAAAAGGGCCACAAUGCAUAUGACUCGGCAGUGCAAGGACAAGUUCGCAGCACUCCCAACUCUAGGCAUGCUGGACUCCUUUGUCUCUGCAGCACUCCCAACUCUAGGCAUGCUGGACUCCUUAGUCUCUGCACCACUUCAAAUGUAGCGCUUUGCACUCAGCCCGAGCUAUUCACCCUAGGAACUGGCUUCACCUCAUUCAGUGCAUGCUCGUAACUCCUUAAACAUUUAGAGCUGGUAAAGAAGCAUCCUGAGUUGGAAAAGAAGGCAACGUUAAUAGGUGAACGAUUUGGCACUCAAAAAUCAUUGGAAGAGCAACAUAGUAGGUGAAAAGGCACAUUUCAAUACAUGCAUACAGGUAAAGAACACCAUUUUAACCUUAGAUUAUAAAUUUAUGUUCAAAACCAAUUUUUCCAAAAUGCUGUUGC